rnacentral:piRNA from 1 species
UCAGUGUGUCCCUGUUUAGUUU